AGUGAACGCUGGCGGUAGGCCUAACACAUGCAAGUCGAACGGCAGCACAGUAAGAGCUUGCUCUUACGGGUGGCGAGUGGCGGACGGGUGAGGAAUACAUCGGAAUCUACUUUUUCGUGGGGGAUAACGUAGGGAAACUUACGCUAAUACCGCAUACGACCUACGGGUGAAAGCAGGGGAUCUUCGGACCUUGCGCGAUUGAAUGAGCCGAUGUCGGAUUAGCUAGUUGGCGGGGGAAAGGCCCACCAAGGCGACGAUCCGUAGCUGGUCUGAGAGGAUGAUCAGCCACACGGGAACUGAGACACGGUCCAGACUCCUACGGGAGGAAGCAGUGGGGAAUAUUGGACAAAGGGCGCAAGCCUGAUCCAGCAAUACCGCGUGGGUGAAGAAGGCCUUCGGGUUGUAAAGCCCUUUUGUUGGGAAAGAAAAGCAGCAGGUUAAUACCCCGCUGUUCUGACGGUACCCAAAGAAUAAGCACCGGCUAACUUCGUG
rnacentral:rRNA from 1 species